rnacentral:rRNA from 1 species
AACGUAGGAGACAAACGUUAUCCGGAGUUACUGGGCGUAAAGGGCGUGUAGGCGGUUUGUUAAGUCUGGCGUGAAAGCUCUCGGCUAAACCGGGAGAGGUCGUUGGAUACUGGCAAACUAGAGGACGGUAGAGGCGUGUGGAAUUCCGGGUGUAGUGGUGAAAUGCGUAGAGAUCCGGAAGAACACCGGUGGCGAAGGCGGCCUGCUGGGCAGUAGCUGACGCUGAUGCGCGACAGCGUGGGGAGCAAACAGG